rnacentral:rRNA from 1 species
GGCUAACGCUGGCGGCGUGUCUUAGCCAUGCAAGUCGAGCGGACUUAUGGGGUAACUUAUAAGUCAGCGGCGGACGGCGGAGUAACACGUAGCUAACCUACCCUCUGGACGGGGAUAACCUACCGAAAGGUGGGCUAAUACCCGAUGUAGUCAUCCUGUAUAGGGGUGAUGAAAGGUGGGCUUCUGUUUACAAGCUCAUGCUGGAGGAGGGGGCUGCGGCCUAUCAGGUAGUUGGUAGGGUAAUAGCCUACCAAGCCGAUGACGGGUAGCCGGCCUGAGAGGGUGACCGGCCCGAGGGGCACUGAGAUACGGGUCCCACUCCUACGGGAGGCAGCAGUGGGGAAUAUUGGGCAAUGGGCGCAAGCCUGACCCAGCAACGCCGCGUGAGGGAAGAAGGCUUUCGGGUUGUAAACCUCUGUCCUUGGUGACGAAAAAAUAGACGGUAGCCAAGGAGGAAGCCCCGGCUAACUACGUGCCAGCAGCCGGUAAUGCUACGUAGA